GACGAACGCUGGCGGCGUGCUUAAUACAUGCAAGUCGAGCGGACAGGCCCUGCUUUUGUUGGUUUCUCGAGUGGCGCGCGGGUGAGUGACACGUGAGUAAACUGCACUUGUCUUUCUGAUAACUUCUGGAAACUGGGGCUCAUAUCGCAUAUAAGCUCCUGCUGCGUGGUGGGGGUUGGAAAGUUUCGGCGGUUUGGGAUGUACUAGCUGCUUCUCCGUUUGUUUGGGGGGUAGUUGAUUUCCAAGGCUUUGACGGGUAGGCGGCCUGAGAGGGUGACCGGCCACAAUGGGACUGAGAGACGGCCCAGACUCGUACGGGAGGCAGCAGGGGGGAACAUUGCACAAUGGGCGGAAGCCUGAGGAAGAAACCCCGCGUGCGGGAUGACGUCUUUCGGGUGGUAAACAGCUGUCGCAGGUGACGAAGAGUGAGUGACGGUAACUGGUAAAGAAGCACCGGCUAACUACGUG
rnacentral:rRNA from 1 species